rnacentral:lncRNA from 1 species
AAAUUCUGUCUGACACAUUUGCUGUAUCAAAGUAUGCCUUGAUAUCAAAGAUGUGAAAGAACCAUGCCUUGCUUUUGAAUACUGAAUCCCACCCAGAAGUACUUCUGUACUCAGAAGACUCUGAUCCUGCAUCCUCCCUUCAGUCUCUGGGCUCUUCAUCUGUAUUUCCUACUUAGGAGUCCUUGUCUGGCCUGUGCAGCCCAUAGAGUCAGCUCACAACCCUCUUUCUCCUCUGUUUUCACCAAAUAAGUUGAAUUUAAGGCAGGUUCUGUUCUAUUUAGGUGCAACCCGCUCAGAAUGAAUGAUAAUUUAUACUUGUUACUGAUAUAAAUCUGUACCCAGUGCCAGAAGCUGUGAGUGGUCCUGCGCACUUGUGAUUUCCACAUUGUCUGUCUACAGAAAGCACAGUUACAUUUCAGGAGCAGUGACUCAUCCCACUCCAGUCAAAGGAGUUUCCUGUAGGAAAGAAAAGGCUCCAAGCAGAGCUGUGGAGUUACAAUCAAUGAAGAUGCUGGUUCAUCAUCAAACCUGAGCAAGAACUUCAUGCACACUGACAGAUUGCCUUGUUCAACAAGUUAUUCUGUGAAGUUGAUCCUGAACCCUCAUAUGGAUGCAACUCAUUGUUCUCCACCUAUGGAAUCAUCACCAUUUGUUUCAGAGGAGAAGAAAGAGGAAACAGAGGGAGACCACAGAAUCACAGAAUUGUAGGGGCUGGAAGGGACUUCUAGAGAUGAUAGAGCCCAGCACCUCUGGCAAAGCAGGCCCCCUACCGCAGGCUGCACAGGUAGGCAUCCAGGUGGGCCUUGAAUAACUUCAGAGAAGGAGAAUCUACAACUCCCCUGGCAGCCUCUUCCAGUGCUCCAUCACCCUUAC